GCCCGGGUGGUGAAAUGGUAGACACGAGGGACUUAAAAUCCCUUGGUCCGCAAGGGCUGUGCGGGUUCAAGUCCCGCCCCGGGCACCA
rnacentral:tRNA from 1 species